ACUAUUUUGGCAGAAUUAAGUGUAAUAGAUUUAGAAUCUAUAAAUAUGAUUAUAAUCAUAAGUAGUA
rnacentral:tRNA from 1 species